AUUGAACGCUGGCGGCAGGCCUAACACAUGCAAGUCGAGCGAGCGGCGGACGGGUGAGUAAUGUCUGGGAAACUGCCUGAUGGAGGGGGAUAACUAUUGGAAACGGUAGCUAAUACCGCAUACCAUCAGAUGUGCCCAGAUGGGGUUAUCUAGUAGGUGGGGUAACGGCUCACCUAGGCGACGAUCCCUAGCUGGUCUCAGAGGAUGACCAGCCAAACUGUGACUGAGACACGGUCCAGGAUCCUACGGGAGGCAGCAGUGGGGAAUAUUGCACAAUGGGCGCAAGCCUGAUGCAGCCAUGCCGCGUGUGUGAAGAAGGCCUUCGGGUUGUAAAGCACUUUCAGCGGGGAGGCGUUACCCGCAGAAGAAGCACCGGCUAACUCCGUGCCAGCAGCCGCGGUAAUUC
rnacentral:rRNA from 1 species